ensembl:miRNA
AAACUAGUGGAGCUGGGAGGCAGCUCGGACGCAGAUUCCCUUGCCUUUCCCUGAACUGCACCCAUGCCAAGCAC